GAAACAUCCUUACCAUACCUCAACCUGUCAGGAACAUCAGCCUCCAAUGCAACAGUAGGAGUUAAAUUGAUUACAUGUGCAACAGUGUACAGUGCCUCACCCCAAAAAGAUCUAGGCAACUUUGCAUCUGAAAGCAAACAUCUGACUAUUUCCAUUAAUGUUAUGUUCAUCCUUUCUGCUAAACCAUUUAACUGAGGAGUCUUAGGAGGUGUUUUCUGAUGUCUGAUACCUUGUUCUCUGCAAUAUACAUCAAAAGGACCACAGUAUUCUCCACCAUUAUCAGUUCGGAUACAUUUCAGCUUCUUUCUUGUUUCUCUUUCAACAGAAGCUUGAAAUUCUUUAAAUGCACCAAGCACUUGAUCCUUUGACUUCAAGACACGAACCCAAAGCUUCCUUGAGCAAUCAUCAAUAAAAGUUACAAAAUAAAGUGCACCACUAAAUAACUUUACCUUCAAAGGCCACAAACAUCUGAAUGUACCAGCUUAAGCAAAUCCUUUUUCUUGAAAGGAGGAUGAUGUUUGAAAGAGACCUUUCUUUGCUUCCCAAUCAAGCAAUGAUCACAUCUAUUUAUCUUUGCACCUUUCAAUCCUGAAAGCAGAUUCUUUUUGGCUAGAUAAUCAAGCCCUUUCUCACUAAUGUGACUUAACCUCUUAUGCCAUAAUUCUGAAGAACUAUUGCUUUCAAUUGCAUUCAUAAGAUUGGUAGAGAUUGAAGCUUGUAACCAGUAUAAGCCCGAAGACUUCUUUCCUCUAGCCACAACUAGUGAACCUUUAGUGAGUUUCAAUUGCCCAUCAUUGAACAUGUCAAA
rnacentral:misc_RNA from 1 species